AGAGAGAGACAUGCGCGCAUAUCAAUAAGCGGAGGAAAAGAAACUAACAAGGAUUCCCCUAGUAACGGCGAGUGAAGCGGGAAGAGCUCAAAUUUGAAAUCUUAAAGGGUUUCCCUUUACGAAUUGUAGUUUAAAGAAGUGUUUUCUGUUGAGGUUUUGGUAAAAGUUCUUUGGAAUAGGACAUCACUAGAGGGUGAGAAUCCCGUAUUUGACCUUUACUUCAACUUUGUGAUACACUUUCAAAGAGUCGGAUUGUUUGGGAAUGCAGUCCAAAAUGGGUGGUAAAUUUCAUCUAAAGCUAAAUAUUGGCGAGAGACCGAUAGCGAACAAGUACCGUGAGGGAAAGAUGAAAAGAACUUUGAAAAGAGAGUUAAACAGUACGUGAAAUUGUCAAAAGGGAAGCGUUUGACACCAGUGCUGUUUUUCUGAAAAUCAAUUAAAGAACUGUUUAUGCUAAGUUGUUUAGACUUUAUCAGCUAACUGUUUAGUUUUGAGCUUUUCUUUAAUGCACUUUUCAGUUAACAAGUCAACAUCAAUUUCUUUUGCUGUAAAAAAGCUUGAGGAAGGUGGCUUGAGAUUCGUCUUAAGUGUUUAUAGCCUCUUGCCUAUGCAGUCGGAGAGAUUGAGGUCUGCAGCGUAGAUCCUUCGGGGCUAAAUGCAUUUGUGCUAAGUUAUAGCAUUUUAUAGACAACUUGUUGACUAUGAUUUGUCUUGUAGCUUACUCGCUUAUGUUAUUUUACCUACGCUUAGGAUGUUGAGCGCAUGUCUCUCUCU
rnacentral:rRNA from 1 species